rnacentral:tRNA from 1 species
UCCCUGGAGGUCCAGUGGUUAAGACUCUGCACUUCCUACGCAGGAGGCUUGGGUUUGAUCCCUGAUCAGGGAA